AUCGAACGCUGGCGGCAGGCCUAACACAUGCAAGUCGAGCGAGCGGCGGACGGGCGAGCAAUGUAUGGGGACUGCCUGACAGAGGGGGAUAACUACUGGAAACGGUGGCUAAUACCGCAUACUAUCGGAUAACCCAUAGGGGAUUAGCUAGUAGGUGGGGUAAAGGCUCACCUAGGCGACAAGCUUUAGCUGGUCUGAGAGGAUGAUCGGCCACACUGGGACUGAGACACGGCCCAGACUCCUACGGAGGCAGCAGUGGGGAAUAUUGCACAAUGGGCGCAAGCCUGAUGCAGCCAUGCCGCGUGUAUGAAGAAGGCCUUCGGGUUGUAAAGUACUUUCGGCGGGGAGGCGUUACCCGCAGAAGAAGCACCGGCUAACUCCGUGCCAGCAGCCGCGGUAAUAC
rnacentral:rRNA from 1 species